AUGGCAUGCUUGACUGUCAGUCCUCUCACACCCCUGUUGAUACCAGUUUCAAACUAUCCGCUGACGGUGAACCUUUCCAUGAUCCUACUCUGUACCGUAGUCUAUCUCACUAUCACUCGUCCUGAAAUUUCCUUUGCUGUUCAACAAGCAUGUCUCCAUAUGCAUGAUCCACGGCUUCCGCAUUAUAAUCAUGUCAAACGUGUUCUUAGGUAUUUGAAAGGUACUCUUGAUCAUGGUCUUCACAUCAAUAAGUCCACUCCUCAUUCUCUCACCACAUACUCUGAUGCAGACUGGGCUGGUUGUCCAGACACUCGACGAUCCACAUCCGGUUUUUGUGUUUUUCUGGGUAACAAUUUGAUUUCUUGGUCCUCAAAAAGACAGGUUACGGUCUCCCGCUCGUCCGCUGAAGCUGAGUAC
rnacentral:rRNA from 1 species